rnacentral:rRNA from 1 species
CCCGCGCCGUAUUAGCUAGUUGGUGGGGUAACGGCCUACCAAGGCGACGAUACGUAGCCGACCUGAGAGGGUGAUCGGCCACACUGGAACUGAGACACGGUCCAGACUCCUACGGGAGGCAGCAGUAGGGAAUCUUCCGCAAUGGGCGAAAGCCUGACGGAGCAACGCCGCGUGAGUGAUGAAGGUCUUCGGAUCGUAAAGCUCUGUUGUUAGGGAAGAACAAAUGUGUAAGUAACUGUGCACAUCUUGACGGUACCUAACCAGAAAGCCACGGCUAACUACGUGCCAGCAGCCGCGGUAAUACGUAGGUGGCAAGCGUUAUCCGGAAUUAUUGGGCGUAAAGCGCGCGUAGGCGGUUUUUUAAGUCUGAUGUGAAAGCCCACGGCUCAACCGUGGAGGGUCAUUGGAAACUGGAAAACUUGAGUGCAGAAGAGGAAAGUGGAAUUCCAUGUGUAGCGGUGAAAUGCGCAGAGAUAUGGAGGAACACCAGUGGCGAAGGCGGCUUUCUGGUCUGCAACUGACGCUGAUGUGCGAAAGCGUGGGGAUCAAACAGGAUUAGAUACCCUGGUAGUCCACGCCGUAAACGAUGAGUGCUAAGUGUUAGGGGGUUUCC